rnacentral:sRNA from 1 species
GCCAGGCAUAGUGGCACAUGUCUGGAAUCCCAGCUACUUGGGAGGCUGAGGCAGGAAGAUCACAAGUUGGAGGCCAGCUUCAACAGUUUAGUGAGACCCUGUCUCAA